rnacentral:rRNA from 1 species
UACGUAGGGUGCGAGCGUUGUCCGGAAUUAUUGGGCGUAAAGGGCUCGUAGGCGGUUUGUCGCGUCGGGAGUGAAAACUCAGGGCUUAACCCUGAGCCUGCUUCCGAUACGGGCAGACUAGAGGUAUGCAGGGGAGAACGGAAUUCCUGGUGUAGCGGUGAAAUGCGCAGAUAUCAGGAGGAACACCGGUGGCGAAGGCGGUUCUCUGGGCAUUACCUGACGCUGAGGAGCGAAGGUGUGGGGAGCGAACAGG